rnacentral:ncRNA from 1 species
UGCGGCUUAAUUUGACUCAACACGGGGAAACUUACCAGGUCCAGACAUAGUAAGGAUUGACAGACUGAGAGCUCUUUCGAUUUUUUUUUUUUUUUUUUGAGGUGAAUGUG